UAAGUGAUCUAUAGUGUAAAGUGUAAUGAGAAGGCACACUUAUCAUUAUAGGUGCAGUAAGUUCACGUUAUUAAACACUUUCUGACAAAAUAUACCUACCCGUGUAUAUUUAAUUAAUACAGUGCCGUUCAUUUUGGUUUCUGUAUCUAACAGCUGGUUAAACAAGAAAGACUAAAUAAGCUGCCAAUGAUGGGAGUUUCCAGAAAUCAGAAUAUAUAUAAAUCGAUGAGUGCAAUACCAGAACAACAUUCACUUCUGCGUAAAAAGAAGAGGAGUUAAGAUGCCUUCUAAAGUGUAAGUAAUUUCUAUUGAUUCUAAGUGAAGCCGUCCUGUUUAUAAAGACUGCAAAGUUCAGAAAGAGUGAGAAAAGAAUAGAAAGGAGACUAUAAUUAUGAAUUUUAGGCUCUAAUGUAAUGUUAAAUUUAUGUGACUUCAUGUGCUCAGAAUAACAACUCAAUUAUGGGAACUGUGUGAAAACCUGAGAUAAUGGAAAGCUUUUGAUUCAUCUACAGGAGCAUACACAACCAAUAAUUUUAUUUACUCUGGUUGGUACAGAGAGCCACAUUUUUUUAAUGUGCAUUGCUUUCUCUGUUUCAGAACGGUAUCUCUCUUGUCAAGUGGGGCCUAGUUAUUUGAGAUCCCAGGAGCAACCACCACCUAAAUAAAAGCUUUAAGCAAACCAAUAGAAAAGUUAAAAUGAGAAACUAUAUAAGUUAACCACAUGAUUAUGCUUAUGCUUGAUGCAAGAAUGAUUUUAAUAGGCUGAUAUAUAUUCUGGAAAUGAUGAUUGCUAUAGAAGAGAAUGAUUUAAAAUAAGUUAUUUGAUCAUGCUAAGAAAAAUGAUUUAAAGAAGUGAUUCAGUGUAACUAAGUGAGUUUUGAAUGGAAGUAAUCUGUGCUGUUCUGAGCUGUAUGCAGACAGGAUGGGAAAAGCAGAAGUCUCCUCAGAAAUGAGGAACUUGGAGUUUCCACAGGAUGACAGGAUGGGCUCAGGCCUACAUUGUCAUGACAACUGAAGUGUGUGUAACAAGUGGAUGUGUUAACAGAAAAGAUGGAAAGAAUGAUGUAUGCGUGAUAGGAAGAAGGUUGUGUCUUAAACCUAUGAAUUAAUUACCUGGGCGUACCUAUUAGUUAGAAUUGUGUGUGAAAAUGUGUAUGUGCUAAGCUGAAGUCGAGCUAGGGUAUAAAACCCAGAGACACAGACACUGAAUUGGGAGUUCUCCCCUGGAGGGGAGAGAUGCUGCUCGCCGGAGCUGCCGGAGAGCAUCGCCAAAGUUCUGAAGAGUCGACACCGGACCCUUUUGCCCAAGAGACGUGAAGACAACGCGGGACUUAGGCUCCAGAGAUCGCUGAGAACAUCGUUGGAAGCAAAGUUGUUCUAACUUUGUUCAACAAGCGAAGACCACACUCUGCCAGACGGAGAGUCCUGAGAGGUCUACAGUUGUCCAAAGAGAUGAAGAGAGGCAAGCACCCAUGGCAUCCAGAGAGGCGCAGGAGGCAGCAGCAGAGGGCUGCUCCACUCCAGGGGCUGGAGGACCCAGUGACCCACCACAGCCUGAUGAGACGGGGGCUUUCCACCACCACCAUCCGACUGAGAAGACAUCUGAGAUGCCCGCACUUGUGUUCCAGCUGCUACUAAAGAUAACUGCCAGACCAACGAUUGGCUAUCGGGACCUCUCCACUCCCCCUGCCUAUGAAGAACACCCUCUGCCCACAAAGAAGACUUCGUACCGAGUCUGCUGGUCCACGGAGGAGUUCAACUAGAUGCAGGACAAGACCGAGUGAUACGGUAGUGGCCACGCUGUUCGCUCUCUCUCCUAAAUUUAAUAAUUAGAGAAGAUUGUCAGGUACGCUCAAUUUAUUUACUUUAGUCUCAUGUUUAAUCAGAAAUAAUUAAUUGUUUAAUCAUGAAUUGAUGCUGUGCUCUUGCUAAAUUUGCUCAAUAAAACGCUAUAUUGCAUUUAAAGAGAAGUCUAAUGAAAUGAUUAUGAUUCACUUAUUCUGCAUAGUGGUAAAAAGUUGAUUGUGUGCAUUAAAUUUAAUGGUUCUUAAAGGUUACUUUAAUCCAACUAGUUAUUUAAACAUUACCCCUGAGGUUAGUUAUCCAAACCUCUAAAACGAACCUAGGAAUAUCAACAAGUGCCACAGUUUUAAGAGGAAAGCUGUCGUUAACAAACGUGUUCAAUAAAUCAAUUCUACUACUUAGGUGGGCUGCUUAGUAAGAGAGUAUUUAUUGGAGUAAGAGGGGUAAGACGUUUGGAAGAAGACAGUUAGGACCUAGGCGAGUAUUCCUCGACACCAGCUUAAUUAUUCUGCUGAAACCUGUUAGGUGGAAUACUAAUAGGCAGAUAGAAUCUAACCCUUUAAACGGAGAGCUGGUCCUGAUUUAACCUGAGGCAAGGGUUAAAGAAGGCUAUACUGAACGACACUCUCUGUUGCAUCUGUUGCAUCAGGGAUGGUGUUUGUAGCGAAAGCUGUGAGUCUAUCACACCCUGCUUUGUUUGCAAUGACAGCUGCUGUAGCUGUGACAGGCAUCUUAAUCUACGGGAAAUCAUCCGACAAGAGUACGAAGGAACAGCCAGACAUCGACUGACGUACCGGAUGAUACAAAUGCAGAGCUUUCAUUGGCCUUCAGACUGUGAAGAGGAAUCUGAAGACAGCUAACAUGAAGGAAUUACAAACAGACAAGUUCAGAACAGUGUUUUGCUUGAUUUAGCCUCACUAAAAGUCAGACCAGUAUAAUUUCUUAGAUAUACACUGUAUUUGCUUUGGGGAAACAUUAAAUGAAUGUGUGAUUUAAUUUUGUAAAUAAAGAAAUUAUUACAA